UCAGGCCAAUUACAACCACCUAAAAAAAAAAAAAAACCUCACUUAUAUACCAUUUUCUUUCCAAAACCAUCUGGAUCAAAUAGGAAAAGAAUUCUAAUACUCAUCUUAUAGAUGAAGAAACUGAUUCUUAGGGAGAUUUGGCUAUAUAAUGAAUUAUUGGCAGAUUUAAGAAUUUGAAACUAGGGCACUUGAUUUUAAAUUUAAUGCUUUUUAUUUGGACAUUUGCUAGCUGCAUCUUUCCCCCUUUUCAAACCUUUUUGCCCUCUGAACCCCAAAGAAAUAAUGCUUAUCAAGGAUCAAAUACUUAGAUGGAUCAUUUUGGGUCUGGGUCUGGGGUCAGUGAAGAUGGCAACCCCUGUCCAACCAACAACUACCCCCACCCUUCCAACAUAGAGAAGUACUGGAAAAUGGCAAUGCAGUUCAUUGACAGAGGGCUAGUGAAAGAGAUUCACUGAUUAAAAAAAAAACAUUUAGGAUCAUCAAACAUGUGCACAUUGCUGCUGACUUUAUUUUCAAGAAGCCUGUAAUCUGAUGGAAGUGGUGGUGGUGGUGGUGGUGGGGAAUACAUGGAUGCAGAUAAAAAGGAAAGAAGGGAAUAAAAUAAUUGCAAAGGAUUGAGUCCAAGAUAAGUAAAUAUCAUGAUAAAUUGAAGGAGAAAUAGCCCACUUUCCUUUUGGAGGACAUGGAGAAGGGGAGAAGAUAACAUCUGAGUUGGGCCUGGAAAGAACUAUGACCUUCAACAAAUGGAUAAAGAGACUGAGAAGUUCAUUCUAAACAUGGGGGUGGGGUGGGGGGCAGGUUCGACAAAGACACGGGGACUAGAAGGAUCAGGACAGUAUAAUAUGGCCAGAGAACAAUAUAGUUUGACUGUAAUAUCAAAGGAAGCAGCACAACAUAAGAGACUACAGAGGUAGGUUGUAACUACGUUAUGGAUGUACAUUAUGCAAUGACUAAGAGUUUAUAAUUUAUUUAAUAGGUAAUAGAGUCAUGAAAAGUUCUGGUAUAGAGUGGUCUUAGCCCUAAGGAAGAUUAUUCAACAGCAAUAUGAUAUAAUAAUUUUAAGAGGGAGUCAACUGGAGGAUCCAAAGUUAGAAGCCUAGGUGACCUGGGUGGGUGAUGAUGCCAUCAAAAAAAUUAGAGAUGGGGCAGCUAGAUGGCUCAGUGGGUAGGCCCAGAGACAGGAGAUCCUGGAUUCAAAUGUGACCUCAGACACUUCCUAGCUGUGUGAAUCUGGGCAAGUCAUUUAAUCCCAACUGCCUAGUCCUUACUGCUCUUCUGCCUUGGAACCAAUACACAGUCAUUGAUUCUAAGGUCAAAGGUAAGGGUUAAAAAUAAAAGAAAAUAGAGACAUUUGAGAUUUGUCACCAAAGAAAUAGCACGGAGAAAUGGGCAGUCAAGUAAAUGCAUAUUAGCAGUUUCUGGAGGCAGGAAGAAAAUCCCAUUGUUCCAGGUAGGACUUGCUGAAAGAAUCUACCAUACUGUGGCAAUCUGUAAGGAGAAGAACCCAGAACUGGAAGUUUUAUCUAGCUCACAACAAGAUGUUAGGAAAGUAAAAGCACAGGUGGGACUGAAGGGAAGGACAUAGUAAUUGGAAGGGACUCCAAUAUAAAUCAGUAGGUAAGGAGAGCCCUAGAACUGUAGCAGAAAUAUCUUCCAUGCCAGUUUUUGAAAUCUAAGGGACCUGCUUUAAUACUUCCCAAUAAAGACUGGGAGAAACUCCCAAGGCAUAUUUGCCAGAUGGUCAUUCUUCCCCCUUUUCAUUAUACCUCCAUAGAAUUUAUAUUUGCCAGAUGGUGGUGUAGGUUCUUGUUGCUUUCUCAUUCCUUCCUAAUAAAACCCUCACUUGUAGAGAAGGUACUCCCCAGUCCUUUCCUUUUGUAUCCUGGGAAUAUGGGCAGAACCCUAGGGAAUAAAAUGGGUUUCAAGUGUGUCCAAAGGGAAAGGAUUCACAUAAGAAUCUCCUUCUCCCCCCUCAACUCCUUAGCUCCUUCUCAGCUGCAGGACAACCUCCAGACUCAUUCUAGCACUGGCCAGUUGUUUGCAGACAGCACACAAAGGAAAUAGCCACACCCUCUUGCUGCGAUCCUUCCCAAAUCUCUCUGCUGCAUCCUGUGGCUCCUGUAAAGCCUAAACCUAAGGAGAAGGCUUUGGAACUGGAAGUGGGUGGGAGGGAGACGCGGGGGAGGAAGAUAAAAGCGGGAAGCGGAGGGGUUGCGGCUGACCCGGCCUCUCCGACCAAAGCGUUUCUCCUUCCCCCACUGGAACAAUAGCUGUCUCCUCCCCAGACUAGAAGCACAAAGGGCCCGUCUCUGCAGCUAUGAGCCGGGGUUGGUCGGCUGGCUACCUACGUGACUCCACGUUCAUUAGCAUCUAUUUGUGACCAUGAAAUAUCGAUAUAUAUGCUAUGUCUGUGUGAUAUGUAAAGCUUGGGGGAGGGGUGGUAGGUGGAUGUUACUAAAUCGACCUGAAAUCUUUCCUCAAAGACAAACGGUGAGUAAAUCACCCUACUGGCUGAAGCAUCCUCCCUCUUCUCAGCGAGAAGCCGGAUUAAGGACCAGGUGGUUCCUCCUACUUGAGAGCAAGUCUGGGCCAGCUGGGAACCGACCAGAAACCACAAGCAGAGGAGACAGAGCUAACGGCAGGGAUGGGAGAGAAAUUCAAACCUCUUCUCUGUAGCGAGAGGAAUGUAAAAAGGGACCUAUUUGGGUAACCACAAAUAGCAACCGCACCAUCUUUUCAGCCACAUUACAUCUCCAUCACACCACCUAUGCCAAACACUGUCACCCAAGGAACACCCACAGAGAGACCCUGCCAAACCCCAGCUAUACGAUCACAACCCUCUCCUCUACACCUCCAGAUCCAUUCUUUCCACUCCUCGUCAUACCUCGAUAGGACAUUGACAUACAGAGACAAAUAGACGCACAAACAGACUGGCUCUACUUUAUCUCUGAACACCUAGCUCUUCUCUUCCCUUAGUCAUCAACAAAGAAGUCUCUGCAAAGAAUAUAUAAAGGAAAAGUCAAAAUCAAAGAA